AAAGGCUUAGGUGAAAAAGCAGAUGCAAAUUUUGUCACAGAUCUUCCAUGCCAAGUAGAAAUAGGAGCCCGUUUUGUUAUGGAACAAAGUGUCAGUUCAUCUCUUCCCACCCUACAAAAACAGAAAAUUGGUGAGAAAAACACUUCAGAAAAACCAAAUGGUUUGUGUGGGAUUACAAGUGAUACAAUGAAAGAGGGGAAAAGUAAAAAAUGUUGAAAUAGAAAAUGGGGGUGGUAAAAAGCAGGACUGCUGGGGUUACAGAUGUCACAUUAAAGAGGAAAACGAGAGCUAUUUGUGCAUCCUAAGGCCCCCUCCAAAAAUAGAAUUUCACCUCAUCCUGUGCAACUGCCUGCACUCGAGGACUGCUCUGCAAACCACCUCAAGGGACUGCCUGGAACUUCUAGGGGCUCUAGAGCAACACAAGCAUCAAUGCCCAGGGAGUGGCUUUACAGAAAAGAAGAAAGCAAAAAACACUUCCGUGAUAUGGGACUGCAGAAUGGAAAGGGCUGACUUCUAAGGCUGUGCUCCUGAGAGCCUGGGUGACCCAGGCUGACAGCUGGGGGAUGCAUGCUGCUGCACAGCCUGGCCGUGCUCCACAAAUCCAGAAAGCAGCUUCUUCUGCCCUCAGUCUCGGGGCACUGGGGUGCCUUCUGCUCUCUCUGGCACUGGCUGCAUCUGGUGAGCCACACAACACCCACCUAACCCUCCCACAGUGGCCCCAGCUGCUCUCUCCUGACUUGAGCUGCACAUGCCCUCUCACACACCAUGCCUUGUUCAGCACUUCCCUGGUCACCAAGCCACGAGGUCUGUAUCUUUUUCUUCCUUUCCAAGCUCCUGACUUUGGGGCAGCAGCUUGUUCUGUUAUUUAUGAUGUCCCAGUGCGAAGGCCAGGAAUGAGGGAGGUUGCAUUCCAAGAGAGCCACUUCUUUCCCAUGAAAAGUAUGCACAAUCCUAACACCCAGAGUAUGUUUUCUACUACAGACAAAUAAUUUCCAUGAUAUGUGUACUUCUGCAGCUUCAUUGACUCCAUUCUGCUACUGUGGUGAAUCCUCUCUCACAGUGUGUUCAGUAUGUUUUCUGCUAAAAGUCUUGGGCCACCAAUAACCUGAAGAUAAAACUGGAAAUACAGCUGAAGGCCUGAAGAUUGUACAGCCUGCUGCUGGAUGCCAGCACCAUUUCACACUGCAUGAUUCCUUCACAGUCAAAUUAAACCAGAAAGGCUCCUUAUUGCACACACAGCUGUGCGAAGGACAGCUGGUGGUGCAGGGGGAAAACAGCCAGCAGCAGAAACUUCUUAAGCUUCUUCAAGGAAUCCUGGCCUGAGACCUUCUAAAAUAAAACAAAUCUCUACCAGCCACAUGCAGUAUAAUGUGGGGUGGUUUUUCUUGCCCAAAGGAUUCUAAAGCUAUGACCGCAGCACUAGAAAAAACAGGGCCUGGAAAUGAGCUUAAGUACUGGACUGCUAAUUGCCCAUUAUACUUAACUGCAAACAUGUGUCCUGGAAAAGGUUUGGCUCAAGUCAGCUCACACUGUCCCAGACGGAAUCCAGACCAGGAGAUGGUGAGUGUGCAGCCCAUUCCAGCAGGCAGCAUGCACCAGGCAAACACCAGCAGCCUCCCCUUUUCCCUCUUCCUGUGCUCAGCAUCACCUUUUUUCAUUGCCUUCAGACUCUCCAGAGCAAAGGAUACAUGUUCUCAGAUUCAUAAUAUAAAAAUGUCACUCCACUAACUAUUUUUUUUUUCAGAAAAAGAAAAGUCCAAUUAAAAAGCACAAGCAUGUUAACAUAGGUCCGUGGAAAGGAAGCAAUUGGUUUGUAAAAUGGACCUGGUCAGGUCUUGGUACUUGGCCAAAAAGCCAAGUGCCUUCACUUGUUUUAUUUGGUGUUAUAAACAUAGUCCAGCUGCAAGAAUCUGGCCUUACCUUCACAGGGAUGGCAGAAGGCACCUGUGACACUAAGGUCACCAUCAUUUGGACAAUACUGUCAGGCACAUGGUGGAUGGAACUGUGAAGGUCCAGGAGCUGCAUUCAGUGAUCCUUGUGGGUCCCUUCCAGCUCAGCAUGUUCUGUGAUUUUGUGAUCCUACUGAAGCCCUUGAGAACAUUAAAACCAUGAAUUUUUUUUUCCUUGUGCAGAACAAAUGUUAGUUUUGAUCCUAGAAACAGCAAUUGCUUUGGCUGAAACCUCUCUGUUUAAACAGACACCUAAAUAAGAGCAUCACGAGGAAUGUCCUUCAUUGGUAACAAUAAUCUCACCAUCCGUAGCCCUUUUUUAUCCUUGAGAUAUCUGUAGCUUUACAGUAAAUUAGGGUGGUUUUUUCCAUCUGAUUUUAUUUUUAAGAUCUCAGAAUUUAAUUAUGUUGAAACAGGAAGCAUGCUUUUUUUAAGUGAUGUCAGAAUUUCUUUCUUGAGCUGUUUCAUGGGAAGAAUCUUUACUUCUUUUCUCUGUUUACCCUGAAGGUUCAUGAAGCCAAUGUAAACAGCAAAAUGAGUGUAAACACCAGGGAUUAACUUUAGAAGAUUUGAAAGCAGCAGGUUUUGCCUUAAUAAAAUUAAGCAGAUAGUUUAGUAUUUCUAUAUAUCUCUGUAUAUAGUUUAGAAGUUCUAAAGAAGUAUGUUCCCCUUAUUAAACAUUCAUCAUGUGAGCUUUUUGAGGAUUUCCUCAAAGAAUCAAGGAUAGCAUUAUGUUGGUGUUAAGCUAAUUUUUUAUUAACUUCAGGGAGAGGACAAUUCGGUUACUCCAUUAAAUGUGCAGACACUCACUGUAUUCUCUGUACUGCAAUACAAAAAGAUUUUUAGACAAUACAAUACUCUUAAAAGCU